UAAACCGCUACAAUAUAUCGGUACUGACAGUCGCACACACACAUAUUCAGACUAUAUCAGUACCGUGCACAAUCAGUGUAGACCACAUUGCUGUGUGCGAUAGGCCGAGCUGAAACACAGCGCGCUCCUCUUACAGGAUAACAGAGGAACAUAUGUUUACUCUAUAUACUCUGAUACGUUUUUGGUAUAUACGCGGAUAUGUUGAUCAUAUGUGAACGAUUGGCGUGAUGGCUGAGUGCAGGCCUUAUGAGUAUGAGCUGAUGUUAAACUUGUGAAAUGUAUGAUGUUUGUUUUUCUUUCUCUUUAAUUUACUUUAUUUUUAUUUUUAGUUAGUGUAGUUUGACCAAUCACUAACAUCUAACUACGGCAAUACCAACCUAAACUGAUAAAUCCUAACUGGACAAAUCCUGGCAACGCAUUUCCUUGUCCCAUGGAUCGCUUAGUUCCAUUCCCUGGCCAUGACAAGAAGGAAGAGAAGAUGUGAAGACAACUUCUGGACGCUCUGAGCCCAAGAGGCUAUGCGCCCUACACCAAAACAACAACAACAACAACAACAUUGAGUGAAAUAUCCAUCAGCUGAGUGAGGAAAUGGCAGCAACACUGAGUCCGCCAAGAACAAGUGGCGAUGGCAUGGAGUCUGCGGUCAGCAACCGACCUGCUGACUGCCCACUGUUGGAGCCAGUGGAGCAGCAGAUGCUGAAGAUAAUUACAGACCAGAGAUUGCAGGGAGCAUCUCUGUCUGACAUUCUAGGAGAUCUGGAGCUGGCCUCUGGUGUGGAUCAACCAAUCUUCAGACUGGCACCAGCCAUUGAGCAGAGGUCUGCUGCACAUCACCCAGCCUCGAGAACCACUGCUGUGCCGGCGAGUCCCACGAGUCCCAGCGGCGGAGCGCGUGAGGCGCGUUUCGUCCCGUACGAGCCGUACCCCGGCUGCACCUCUCCUCUAACCGCCGGCGCUGCUGAGGCCGGGUCUCGCCCGGUCGAGUCGGGUCCCCGCCGAGUUAGCGGCGAGAGCGACGGGUCGGCGCCGUCGGUCGCGGCCGUGGCGGCGGCGGCGGCGGCCAGCGCUGCCCCAGUCGCGCCGGAGGAGGAGGAUGUUCGCAUCACGAAACUCCGGAGGGAGAAGGAUGAGCUGCAGCGCGAGCUGAACGUCGCCAUGGAGGUGACGGCCGAGCUCAAGAAGCUGCUGGUCGCCUCGAUUGGCGAGGACAUCGAGUCGCGGCUACACCUGCUCACAGAGGACAAGGCCCACCUGGCGCAGCUGGUGCGCACGUUCUCGGCACAGGCCGCUCAGGAGGGCGAGGGACGUGACCAGCUCUCCAUACAGUGCGAUGUCUGGAGGUCCAAGUUUAUGGCUUGCAGUCUAAUGGUGGACGAGCUGGCCGGCUGGAAGGCGGUGCUCGGUCGCCGCUGCCGUGAGUCGGAGGCUGCCCUGAAGGCGCUGCUAGAGGAGAGACGUCAGAUCGCUGACCAGCUGCGCGCCUCUGCCAGGUCUCUGACCGCGGUGCGGGACGCGUUCGACCCUCUGGUGGCCCAGUCGGGCCGGGGCUCACCGGACGGAGACGCCGUCCAGCUGGCUGAGCGAGUGACCCAGCUCAGUGGAGCGCUGCACGAGCGUCUGCUGGGCCGGCCGCCGGCGCCCGCCCCGGCCCCCGGUCAGGGACAGACUGAGGAGUCGGCACAGACGCACGUACAGACACCCGCUGAGGAGGCGGCCGAGAAGCUGCUAUCGACGUCGGCGUGUUACCAGUACCAGGCGCAGCGUGACUCCUGCCGGGACCGCGGCAUGGCCGACCGGUUCCACCCGCAGGCGCGCCUCGAGCACCUCACCAUGACGUGCUGCACCCACUGCAGCGGCGACAUCUAUGUGGUGUGAUGAGAACCAGCGGUUGGCCGCGCCGCCGCUAACUGGCGCUGUGAACCCGACUCUCACCGGCCGACAAAAAAGGCGAGUCUGUUGAACUGUGCGUUGUGUCCAGACGAAGUGAGAAUCGCUGGUUCUGUGGAUGUGCCUAUUCGUUGCAGCUAAGGAAUUGUGCACAAGUUUGGUAGGGGUUACACCUCUCCCUUUGCUGGGUAUAGAUCAUUUCACUUUUCAGACAUUCUAGAAUGAUUUCGUGAUGCAUUCGUGGAAAUGGCCGUCAAGUUAUGCGUAUGCUACUUUGGUUACGGGUGGAACCGUUACAAAAAAAAGCGAAAAAAAAACUUUUGGAUCACUAAGAGAAGUGGCGAUCUGGAUUAUGAAAGUAAUGUUUCGUCCCAGACCCUGGAGGUCUGCUAUGCAAGGUUUUGUACUGUCAUGGGUUAGAUUGGGUACGUAGCAGAGGUUUUGUACUGUCAUGGGUUAGAUUGGAUACGUAGCAGCGGUACUUGUUAUAGACACUGGGUCCGGAGUUGGGUAAUAGACUUGAAACAGGGCUAGCUGAUGUAAUUAUAUCUGUAUAUUUUUUAUGGGAUGCGAGCAUUUGCUGUCCUUAAUUCUUAUGCGUAUGUAGACAUAUGUAUGAUAAUAUGUUAGGAACUCAGGCAAUAUUUAUAUAUUAGUUCCUGAAUUACUUAACCGUAGUUAGCAUGCAACUUUGAAAGUGCUCAGUUCUGAUGGGUAAAACAACAAACAAAGUUUUCGUUUUCCACAGGGUGCACUUAGGCUACGGGGGAGCUACCAUUACAGUUAUGUUAUGCUUUAAGGCGAUCCGAAUGAACUUUUUGUUUAUUUGAUCAUAUAUUUGUUAUUUAACUGCAAAUUUAUUCAGUUUCAUUGCAUAGUUUUUUAUAUGUUAUAGGUAAGCACGUCUUGUUUUGUUAUCGAAUGUUAUGGGUUUGUGGUGUAUAAUUGUUUAGCACAUUGGCAGGAUCAAAUCGGAAUCUACUUAACAUGCUCAUUUUAGCGGGAUCUUAUAUGCGAGCUCGCUCUGAGUACGACUUCUUUCGUAAGCGUGCGUGCUUUGACCGUUAUUUUUUGCACGCAUUGAAUGGCACGGUGAACACACGAACAAUAUCACCUUCUGGCGGCUGUGAUGAGCUUAUAUACCUACUGGAUGUGAUGUAUGUGUCGGUCAGUUCGUCCCAGGUACGUUCCCUAACCAAUCUCCGCGUACUAACUAAAUAAACCCCUGUGUGCCGCGACUUACUGCUGUGUGAAAAUGUGAUGACUGUCGGCCGUCGUCAAAUAAUACACCGCGCGUGGUGUUUUGACGAGGGCACGUGACUGGAAAUGCACAGUUUGUCUCGAAUGCACCGGCCCGUAUAUUUAUGUGGAAUACAUGGCUUUAUCACGACAUGCAAAUACAAUUGUUCCGAGACCUUU
rnacentral:misc_RNA from 1 species